rnacentral:rRNA from 1 species
UACGAAGGGGGCUAGCGUUGCUCGGAAUCACUGGGCGUAAAGGGUGCGUAGGCGGGUCUUUAAGUCAGAGGUGAAAUCCUGGAGCUCAACUCCAGAACUGCCUUUGAUACUGAGGAUCUUGAGUACGGGAGAGGUGAGUGGAACUGCGAGUGUAGAGGUGAAAUUCGUAGAUAUUAGGAAGAACACCAGUGGCGAAGGCGGCUCACUGGUCCGGUACUGACGCUGAGGUGCGAAAGCGUGGGGAGCAAACAGG